rnacentral:rRNA from 1 species
UACGUAGGGGGCAAGCGUUGUCCGGAAUCAUUGGGCGUAAAGAGCGUGUAGGCGGCCCGAUAAGUCCGCUGUGAAAGUCCAGGGCUCAACCCUGGAAUGCCGGUGGAUACUGUCGGGCUCGAGAUCGGUAGGGGUGAGCGGAACUCCAGGUGGAGCGGUGAAAUGCGUAGAUAUCUGGAGGAACACCGGUGGCGAAAGCGGCUCACUGGAUCGACACUGACGCUGAGGUGCGAAAGCUAGGGUAGCAAACGGG